rnacentral:rRNA from 1 species
UUUUAUGGAGAGUUUGAUCCUGGCUCAGGACGAACGCUGGCGGCGUGCCUAAUACAUGCAAGUCGAGCGAACAGAGAAGGAGCUUGCUCCUUUGACGUUAGCGGCGGACGGGUGAGUAACACGUGGGCAACCUACCUUAUAGUUUGGGAUAACUCCGGGAAACCGGGGCUAAUACCGAAUAAUCUAUUUCACUUAAUGGUGAAAUACUGAAAGACGGUCUCGGCUGUCGCUAUAAGAUGGGCCCGCGGCGCAUUAGCUAGUUGGUGAGGUAACGGCUCACCAAG